AUUGAACGCUGGCGGCAUGCCUUACACAUGCAAGUCGAACGGCAGCACGGGGGCAACCCUGGUGGCGAGUGGCGAACGGGUGAGUAACAUAUCGGAACAUACCCUAGAGUGGGGGAUAACGUAGCGAAAGUUACGCUAAUACCGCAUACGAUCUAAGGAUGAAAGUGGGGGAUCUUCGGACCUCAUGCUCAUGGAGUGGCCGAUAUCUGAUUAGCUAGUUGGUGAGGUAAAGGCUCACCAAGGCGACGAUCAGUAGCUGGUUUGAGAGAACGACCAGCCACACUGGAACUGAGACACGGUCCAGACUCCUACGGGAGGCAGCAGUGGGGAACUUUGGACAAUGGGGGCAACCCUGAUCCAGCAAUGCCGCGUGAGUGAAGAAGGCC
rnacentral:rRNA from 1 species